ensembl:lncRNA
CUGGCAUCUUGGAUACCAGCUCAGCCACAGCAAGACAGGGAGAUCAGUCCUGAGGCUCCUGUUACCGGCCCUAGUUGCCAGAUGACAUUUCUAAGCAUGCCCUAGGCCAGAAGAAAAUCCACUACCUUGAAGGAGAAGAUCCAGUCCUGGAAACCUUCAUCACCUGCUAAUUGAAGAGCCCUUGGGCCCUGAAUAACCAGCAGCAAUACCCAGGUACUACAAGGACCUUAGUAAGCCUCUAAGACUUGCUGGCUUCAAUUGAGACUCAGCACAUUCCCAGCUGUGCUGGCUAUAGUACAAAACUUCCGCUUGAGAAAAGCAGAGGGAAAAGUAAAUGGGACUUUGUCUUGCACCUCAGGUACCAAAAUCAUCACAGGAAGGUAGAGCACCCACCAUGCUUUUGGGGUGUCCAACUUCAGGACUUGACUCUUGGACAGCAUUUCUGGACCUGCCCUGCGCCAGAGGAAAGCCCACUGGCCUAAAGGAGAUGGAGUCUCACUCUGUCGCUCAGGCUGGAGUGCAGUGGAAUGAUCUCGGCUCUCAAGAUCUAGCAAUUCUCCUGCCUCAGCCUCCCAAGACUAAUUCAACUGUUGACUCCCAUCAAUCAAAUACUACGUCAGGAACACAGAGAGGUGACUCCCAAGUUCUUAAGGAAGACAUUUCUUGUCAUAAAAGUCACGAAAGACCAGCUGGAAAAGACCUAUCUCGUCUUUAAAACUGUUUAUAUACAUUUACAAAAGAUUGGAAAGUACUUACAAGUUUUCUAAGAGAAAUACUCUAGAAUAAAGAAGAUGGAAAUCUCCCCAUUUAUUUUCCCAGUGAGAAACAAGCCUCUUAUUUUGUAUUUGCUUUUCUUACAUUUAUCAGAUAGAAUGCAGGAUACCUAACUCCUGUCAUAUUUGAGACAAAUUUGUGAAAUCUAGCAGUCUUUGUUUCAGAUCAGGUUAAUUAUUAAUAUGUUACUGAGAAGAAAACCCCUAACAGAGCAGUGCUCCAUGCUCACUCAGCUGUAACAGGCAGAAGAUCCAAUAGCCACAUCCAGAAGGUUUUGGAGAUUAGACAGCAAGCCCCCAGGCUCUGCCUUGCCAUUUAUGCUUCUUUUGUGAGAGCUCUGAUUCACAUGAAUUCAUAAUAGAAGGCAAAUAAAGGCAGCUGGACCUAAGACACUCCACAUUAGAACCUAUCAAAUAAUAAAUAAAUGUAAAUAAUCUUUUUUGUGUUAGCAGUGUAGCAGUGGAAUUUGAACUUUUUUUUAAAAAAAGUCAUUUAAAUUAAGCAGAUUUUACAAAAUAACUUAAAAUGUCCGUAUCUAUUUGGUACAUUGCAUUUAUUCUAAUACAACUAGAAUACUUAAGAUGAGGAUCAUUAUCUCUGUGAGGAUGAAAAGACCAAUGAAUAACUAACUGCCUAUCCCAGGCUGAUCACAAUUUAUGCUUGUUCUUUGAUAUGCAACUAGUGCUGCUCUUCGAAGACUCUGAUCACUUAAACUCACAAUUAUUCUCCAGACUUUGCUCAAUAACACUUAUUCCAUUUGCAAUUGUAAAACCUUACCUCACUGAUCUUAGCAAUUGGCAUUAUUUCUCUAAAAUCAAAAUUUCCUAUGUGUGCAUUUAUCUUAGAAAUAAAAUAUAGGGGUUUGUGAAUAGUUCUUCUCUUACUUAGGCUUCUCUGUAGUUUUGCUUCACAAGUUCUUAUAAUUCAGUUAGAAAACUAAACGGUGAUGCUUUCAAGCUUUGCAUGCCUUCUAUUUAAAAAAGAAAUUAUUGUCAACAUGCAAUGUUUUCUGUAUUGGCAAAUACAAACUAUGGGUUUGCCUAUUCUCUUCAAUUGAACCAAUGAAGGGGAAAUUUUGGGUCUAUCACUAUAUUUCCCAAGGAACAAUCUUAAGGAAUCUCAGAAAUGUAGUAGUUUAAUUAAACUGGCAUAAAAAGAAAAAAAAGUAUAUGUUAUCAAAUCAUAUUUCUCAGUUAAGCUCAUUACAUAUGCAAUGCACAUAUAAUCUAAUGAGUUUAACCAAAAAAUAUGUAUAUAUAUGUUUGUGUUUGUGUGUGUAUAUAUACAUAUAAAACAAAAAAUAUAUCCACAUCUGGCCUUGGAUGCUACAGUUGGUUGGAACAUUUCCACCAAUGCCCCAACAAAAGUAUAGAUAAAGUUGAGGCUCGGUGCAGUGGCUCACACCUGUAAUCCUAGCACUUUGUGCAGCCAAGGUGGGUGAAUCACUUGAGCUCAGGACUUCGAGACCUGCCUGGACAACAUGGUGGAACCCAGUCUCUACCGGAAAUACAAAAAUUAGCCAGGCAUGGCAGUAUGCACCUGGAGGCCCAAAUACUUGGUGGGGCUGAGGCAGGAGGAUUGCUUGAACCCGGGAGGUCAAGGCUGCAGAGAGCAGAGAUGGCACCAUUCCACUCCAGCCUGGGUGACAAAGUGAGACCCUGUCUCAAACAAAAGCACAAUCACAACAAAAAGUUGAUUGAUAACCUAACCUAUUCCUUGCUUCCUUUGAUCUCCCGUCAUUGCUGGAGUGUCUGAUGACUGACACCAUCAGCAGGGGCACAUCACUAGAUAGAGAGCAAGCCUGGAGAAACAGGAAAAGAAACAAAACUGUCUGUCAAACAUGCGAUCAAAAUGCAAUAUUUACAGCCAUAUUAUCACUGUCAGACAAAUGAAUAGGUAAGGGAAAUAAAUGCGGUCUGAAAUUAGAGAAGAAAAGAGAUUUUUCAACUUAAAAUUUAAAAGACCAAGUAAUGCUAAAGGUAAA